rnacentral:rRNA from 1 species
GAUGAACGCUGGCGGCGUGCUUAACACAUGCAAGUCGAGCGGAAAGGCCAGGCGCUUGUUCCGUUGACGAUAGGCGAACGGGUGUGUGUAACGCGUGUAUCAUCUCCCUAUCAUACUGAGAACUCCACGGGAAACCGGAUCUUAUACCAUAGGAUAUCCUGCAGCGUGUGGUUGAAUAGAAAAAUUCGGCGGUUGGGGAAGGUGUCGCGGCUUACCAGCGUGUUGGGGGGGUAGGGGCGGACCAAGCCUUCGACGGGUAGCCGGCCUGAGAGGGUGACCGGCCACAUUGGGACUGAGAUACGGCCCAGACUCCUACGGGAGGCAGCAGUGGGGAAUAUUGCACAAUGGGCGGAAGCCUGAUGCAGCAACGCCGCGUGCGGGAUGACGGCUUUCGGGUUGUAAACCGCUUUCGCCUGUGACGAAGCGUGAGUGACGGUAAUGGGUAAAGAAGCACCGGCUAACUACGUG